GGGAAUGUAGCUCAGUUGGUGGAGCACUUGCCUAGCAUGUAUAAUGCUCUGGGUUCAAUCCCCAGCACCACUA
rnacentral:tRNA from 1 species